UACGAAGGGGGCUAGCGUUGCUCGGAAUCACUGGGCGUAAAGCGCACGUAGGCGGGUUCUUAAGUCAGGGGUGAAAUCCUGGAGCUCAACUCCAGAACUGCCUUUGAUACUGGGAAUCUCGAGUCCGGGAGAGGUGAGUGGAACUGCGAGUGUAGAGGUGAAAUUCGUAGAUAUUAGGAAGAACACCAGUGGCGAAGGCGGCUCACUGGCCCGGUACUGACGCUGAGGCGCGAAAGCGUGGGGAGCAAACAGG
rnacentral:rRNA from 1 species